GUGGGCGUAGUGUAGUGGUUCUGCACGUAAGAUCGUGACUCUUAAAGUCUGGGUUCAAUUCCCAUCGUUCACCCCA
rnacentral:tRNA from 1 species